CGGGGUAUAGCGCAGUCUGGUAGCGCACCUGCUUUGGGAGCAGGGGGUCGUGGGUUCGAAUCCCCCUACCCCGACCA
rnacentral:tRNA from 2 species